GACGAACCGGACGAACGUUAUUCGGAAUCAUUGGGCUUAAAGAGUGCGUAGGCGGCCUUGUAGGUGAGGUGUGAAAUCCCACGGCUCAACCGUGGAACUGCGCUUCAAACCACAAGGCUUGAGUGAGGCAGAGGUAAGCGGAACUGAUGGUGGAGCGGUGAAAUGCGUUGAUAUCAUCAGGAACACCGGUGGCGAAGGCUGCUUACUGGGCCUUGUCUGACGCUGAGGCACGAAAGCUAGGGGAGCAAACGGG
rnacentral:rRNA from 1 species